GACUGCGGAGGAUCAUUAUCUUCGGUGGUUUUCCACUGUAUUGAGGGGGACUUCGGUCCCUUCUCUCCACCCUUGUCUUUUGCGUACCUAUGUUUCCUCGGCGGGCUUGCCCGCCGGUUGGACAAACUUAUAACCUUUUUAAUUUUCAAUCAGCGUCUGAAAAAACUUAAUAAUUACAACUUUCAACAACGGAUCUCUUGGUUCUGGCAUCGAUGAAGAACGCAGCGAAAUGCGAUAAGUAGUGUGAAUUGCAGAAUUCAGUGAAUCAUCGAAUCUUUGAACGCACAUUGCGCCCCUUGGUAUUCCAUGGGGCAUGCCUGUUCGAGCGUCAUUUGUACCCUCAAGCUUUGCUUGGUGUUGGGUGUUUGUCCUCUCCUUUGUGUUUGGACUCGCCCCAAAGGUAUUGGCAGCGGUCGUGCCAGCUUCUCGCGCAGCACAUUGCGCUUCUCGAGGCACCGGUGGGCCCGCGUCCAUCAAGCUCACCCCCCCAGUUUGACCUCGGAUCAGGUAGGGAUACCCGCUGAACUUAAGCAUAUCAAUAAGCGGAGGA
rnacentral:rRNA from 1 species